rnacentral:rRNA from 1 species
AGAGAUGCACUGGGUGUAAAGGGUGCGCAGGCGGUUUUGUAAGACAGAGGUGAAAUCCCCGGGCUCAACCUGGGAACUGCCUUUGUGACUGCAAGGCUGGAGUGCGGCAGAGGGGGAUGGAAUUCCGCGUGUAGCAGUGAAAUGCGUAGAUAUGCGGAGGAACACCGAUGGCGAAGGCAAUCCCCUGGGCCUGCACUGACGCUCAUGCACGAAAGCGUGGGGAGCAAACA